CUUGGCUCCUGAGACAUCACGAUGACGGACCGCCCCGUACACUCCGCACCAAGCACUCAGUGUGAGGCUCUGAUAAGCCUGUGCUGAGCGGAACACUGAAUUAAAACAAAAAAUGAUUCUGGCACAGCCUCGUGUCUCCUGAUGGUUGCAGUGUGUUUGCGGAGGACUUUGUCCAGGUCUGGAGCUUGCAAUCUACUGGCACUCGGUUCUGGCACAAAGCGGGAUGUGGUCAGUGCUCUGAGAGACGUACAGGUGCUGAGGGACCGCGGAAGGGAGAGGGGCCAUCCUCGGGCAGUUAGAAAAGUUCAGUCACUUGAAGAGCUGUUGUUGAGCUAUGAAGACUCAUGUGAGUUGUGUCAGGCGAUUAUGUGAAACAAGAUGAAGAGGCUUAAGAGUGGUAAGGAGAGAAGGGGACCAGGUAGAGAGACUAAAACCUGUAACUUAAAAUUAUGCAGAUUGGCAGCAAGACCAGAACUCAGGGCCAAUCAAUGGGGCCCCUUACGUGGUCCACCAAGGGGUCUGAGCUUCGAGGUCGGGCGGGCAGAGCAGGGGAUGUGGCCUCAGAAGGCACGGUUUCUAGUCUCUUUCUACCAGUUCCUAGCCAGGGGCGAGUCCUCUCUACAGGGCUGCUGCCUGCGCCCGUGUGGCAAAGGUGCCCUCAGGCUGGCACAGUCCUGGUCCGAUGUCUUCUUCUGUUCCUGAAGCAGCAGGAAAGGCCUGAAGAUGAUAAUGGGACAAGGCAGUGGCUGAAUUUCAGGGAAACUUAUGACAAAGCUUAUUCUGGGUUUAUUAACUCAAUUUUAAAGAUGGUGAAAUGGAGGCCCAGGGAAGUUAUGGGAAUUGUUUGUCUGGCUCGAGUUUUUCGUCUUCCGAUUUCUAAGCCACACCACACUGCCUCUGGGCUGAGAGACCCCUAGGCCAGGAUCGCAUUCUUCAGGGGCACCCCGGGGGUGCAGGAAGUCGGGGGCCAAAGCGGGACUGCGGCGGUCGGCACUGAGCAUCUGACCUUGGUCCGUGGAGGUGCGAAUCAGGUGAUUAGAGUGGGCCUGAAAUAGUUCCAGAGAUGGGGGGUGGGCACCAGGGAGAGUUAGGCAAAGGGUAUAAACUUUCACCUACGAGAUGAGAAAGGUCUGAGCAUUUAAUAUACAGCCCUGCGACGAUAGCCGAUAGCCCUGUAUCACAUCGCUGACAUUUGCUAAGGAAGUAGAACCUCAAUGUUGUCACCAAAAAGAAAGAAAAGGUUAAACAUUUGAAGUGAUAGGUACGUGCUAGCCAGCCAGCCUCUCCCUAUACACCUGUAGGUCAGAUCGUCACAGUGUCCAUUUUAAGUACCUGACGAUUUUAUUUGUCAAUUACACGUCAAUAAAGCUGAAAAACACAAAGACCUGCGGUUCCCAUAGACGUGGUGGUCCUGGGCCCCAGGCUUAGGCUUUGAGGAGUGUCCAUUUAUGGGCUGUAAUCUUGAACCUUUGCCAGUUCCUCUGAAAGUCUGUGGAUAGUUACAGCAGCAUCUGAUGAUGGUUACCGUCAAGACGCCAUCACUCGGGAAGUAACCAUUUAAAAGCUGUGUUGAUGCCUGUCUGCCUCAGGGGCAGUGAGGCGCAGAGGGUGGACCCAGAAGGCAGCUCCCUUGGCCAGUCUGGCUCCCAAAUGUGCCCACUUUGCGCAAAGUUCAACCUCUUCUGGAAUUUUCUCCCCCAGCCCCUUGAAAGAGAUGGAGAAAACGACCGCCAAAGCUUUGUAAAUACAGCAUAUUAUUUUGUGCUGCUGUCAGUUUUCAGACGUGGUUUUCCAAGUUCAGCUAAGAAGGAAGAGGCUGCUCUGGUGGGGCGCUGGCCCUGCCUGUUCCUGGGGGCAGGGUGGGGGGUGGCGCUAGACGGCGAGAUUUUCCUGGGGAGCCUCUGUGUUGCUCAGGGCGGAGACCCGGCUGUAUCCUUUGCCUCUAGACCUUUGGCUUUCUUUCACUGGUGGACCUGCUGCACAUGUGUUGACACAGCUUUCUCUCUCCCUCUUCUGGGAGCUCAUGGAGGAGUAUGUCUUACGAAUCUUGGAGUCUCCACACAGGAAAAGUAGAAUUGCAUUACCCGUGAGUCAGACCUAUCCAGAUGCUUCUCUCGAUGAUGCAUAGUUGGGGUGCCGGGGGAGAGCAAGAGGGAGAGGGGGUGGAGAGAGAGAGGAAGGGAGGGAGGCAGAUUUCACUCGAGCAAGUAGGGGGCGCCAUUCUCCGAUGCAUGUCGUUAGUCUGUGAUCCUGAAGAAACCGUCUUUGGGAGCCUCUCCUGUUCCAGCUUCUUUCUCUGACGCAGUCCCAGGGUCCCUGUGCUGCUUGUACAGUGAGCACACUGCUGUGCUGGGUGUGAUUCGCGCGUUUAAAGGCACAUGUGUCUCCCGCAACUUGGCUGCAAACCUCAGCCAGGCACUUCCUCUCUGCUCAACUGAAAUCGCCGCAAUCGGUUCCAGUCCUGGAAGAAAAAUGUCUUCUGUUGGAAUUACUGAAAGAUGAGCGGGGAGUUCCCAUGGCAGCUCAGCAGGUUAAGAACCCGUCUAGAAUCCGUGAGGACACAGGUUCAAGCCCUGGCCCCGCUUAGUGGGUUAAGGAUCCGGUGUUGCCGGGAGCUAUGGUAUAGAUCGAAGAUGCAGCUCGGGUCUGGUGUGGCUGUGGCUGUGGUGUAGGCCGGCAGCUGUAGCUCCAAUUUGACUCCCAGCCUGGGAACUUCCAUAUGCUGCAGGUGUCUAAAAAGACAAAAAAAGAAAAAAGAAGAUGAGGGGGGUCAAGCUCCAAUAUAAACCCUUCGUGAGAGAUUUUCCAGGGUAAUCUUGACUCUGCCAUGUGUCUCAUCUCUGCCUUCAAGUAGGGACCCCUGAGCCUCCUAACAUCCUGGCAGUGUCUUGGGCAUGUCCCAUAGCUUUGCCAGUCGCCUUUGGCUUUAGAUUUGCCUCAUUUUAAGACAUUAAAAUGGCCAGUCUAGUUCAACCCACGUCUUUCUUUUCCCACUCAGCUUCAGACUUCUUUGUCUGUUCACUUCCCCCCAAACUUCAGUUCCGCGCAAACCUUUCUAGACCCUGCAGGCGAGACGUGUAAUCUUUUGCUUUUUUGCUAUCACCCUGCUGUAGCCAUCUAUUUUCUCCCCCUUUUCUUUAUGGUCCUGGCUCCUCUUGUGCCAGGGCAAGAGGAUGAGAUGGGCAUUAAAAGGCAAUGCGGUCCUUGACGAGAGGGGUGAAAUCCGCUGUGAUGCUUUUCCAUGGGGCAAAAAGCUGACCAGUGGCUCUCUCAUUCUGGAAAAACGUUUGUGGAUUUUUUGGCGAUGUCUGUGGGGAUCUCUGGCGCAGCACCGCUCCUCAGUGUUGUUGGAGAUGCUGAGUUCUUACAACGCUUCUCUUAGCUCCUGCUUGGGGUGGUAGACCGCCAGCCUCACUCUGCUGGUGUCGUCCUGCCCUAACGUGUGGCCUCUUUCCGUGGAGACCUUUCAAGAUAGGAGCUAAUGAGAUGACACUUAGUUCAGAGGAAAAAUAACUUCCUUGUCCCACCAAAUUCUGGGAGAAUAAACCCAUCAUAUUGCUGUCUUUUCUUGUCACUGCGGUCUACACAAGUUUUAUCUCCACCCUUGGGACACUGAAAGCAUCUCCUAAGAAUUGCCCAGGCUCAGCUCUGGUCCAAGGUCAUUGGACAGUCCCUGCAGCUCAGCAUCUCUCGUGGAGGCCAUCCUGUCAGUUGUCUCUUCUAAGAAAGACAAAGCCAUGUGAUUUCACUUCGAUGUGGAAUCUAAAAUCUGGCACAAAUGAACCUAUCUACAGAGUAGAAACAGACUCACAGACAUAGAGAACAGACGGUGGUUGCCCGGGGGAGGGGGAGGGCGUGGGAUGGACGGGGAGUUUGGGGUCAGUAGAUGCAAACUAUUCCAUUUAGGAUGGAUAAGCAAUGAGGUCCUGCUGUACAGCACAGGGAACGGUAGCCAGUCUCUUGGGACAGAACAUGAUGGAAGAUAAAAAGAAUAUGAUAAAAAGAAUGUUUAUAUAUGUAUGACUGGGUCAUUUUGCUGUACAGCAGAAAUUGGCACAACAUUAUAAAUUAAAUAUGCUUUAAUUAAAACAUUUUUUUAAAAGAAAAGAAAAAAAAAGGUCUCUUCUAGAAGACUCCCUAUCUCUAACAAGAGACUUUCUUGAAGCUCCUUUCUUAUUUGGCUUAGGAGGGUUCUCUAAGAGGAGAGUUGGGGACAUGCUACCAAACGUGACUCAAGAUGACACUUCUUUUCUUUUUUGUCUUUUUAGGGCUGCAUCUGCGGCAUAUGGAGGUUCCCAGGCUAGGGUUGAAUCGGAGCUGUUGCUGCUGGCCUACGCCAGAGCCGCAGCAACGCGGGAUCCAAGCUGUGUCUGUGACCUACACCACAGGUCAUGGCAAUGCCGGAUUCUUAACCCACUGAGCGAGGCCAAGGAUCGAACCUAUGUCCUUAUGGACACGCAUGGUAGUAUCCGUUACUGCUGAGCCACAAUGGGAACUCUGAUCUCUAGUGUCUUGAGUUCUCUUAUCCGCCUGGAUUUGGGUUAAAGCAUUAGUUUUUCUACCUUGUGGUUAAGUCUUCCAAGGAUUUAUAUUGUUUUUGUAUCAGAUGUAUGGAUAUUGGUUAUUUUCUGCUUUGGGCUUCAGUUUAAGUUUCAAGAAAAUUGGAAAGUCCCUUUCAACAGUUCAAUAGAGUAAUGUGAGUUUUUUUGCCUUGUGUGCUAAUUUUAAAAGCCACAUUCCCACUCAAGUAGUUUCACCACAUGCACAAGUGCUCAAUACAUACUUUUGAAUUGAACUAUGCUCAUAUCUAUUAAAGGUCAAGCCAAGAGACUUGACCUCUAGAGAAUUCUCUUUCACUGAUCUAAGAUCAGCUCUCAAAAUGGGAACUACCUCUUGAAACUAAUUUUCCAAAAAGGCCUGCAAGCAGAACCCUGACCCUAAGAUCUGUCAAAGAUAGCACAAAAAGGGAAAAAUAUCCAUAAACUCUACCAGGAAAUUAAAAAACAUUCUCCUAAAUAAAAGAUAGCAAAUGGAAUCCAGUGCAAUAGCAAAAGAAUAUAAUUAAAUUGAUUCAGUUCAGGAAUGCAAGGAUAAUUAUUAGGAAAUAUGUUAAUGUAAUCUGCCAUAUGACCAGAUCAAAAGAGAAAAACCUUUCAAUAAGUAGUGAAUUUUAGUUUUAUUUGAAAAAUUAAAUAUCUUUGCCAGAAUUAAACUUUUCAUGGUAGAAAUUGAUGGAUUAUCCUUAAUAUGACAAAAAUACAUUUUAAUUUAAAAUCUAGCAUCCUUCUUAGUAAUAAAAUGCUAGGAGAAUUCUUAUUGAAGUCAGGAACAAAAAAAAAAA
rnacentral:lncRNA from 1 species